rnacentral:rRNA from 1 species
CCUACGGGAGGCAGCAGUGGGGAAUAUUGGACAAUGGGCGCAAGCCUGAUCCAGCAAUGCCGCGUGAGUGAUGAAGGCCUUAGGGUCGUAAAGCUCUUUUACCAGGGAUGAUAAUGACAGUACCUGGAGAAUAAGCUCCGGCUAACUCCGUGCCAGCAGCCGCGGUAAUACGGAGGGAGCUAGCGUUGUUCGGAAUUACUGGGCGUAAAGCGUACGUAGGCGGUUAUUCAAGUCAGAGGUGAAAGCCCGGGGCUCAACCCCGGAACGGCCUUUGAAACUAGGUAGCUAGAAUCUUGGAGAGGUCAGUGGAAUUCCGAGUGUAGAGGUGAAAUUCGUAGAUAUUCGGAAGAACACCAGUGGCGAAGGCGACUGACUGGACAAGUAUUGACGCUGAGGUACGAAAGCGUGGGGAGCAAACAGGAUUAGAUACCCUGGUAGUCCACGCCGUAAACGAUGAUAACUAGCUGUUCGGGCACUUGGUGCUUGAGUGGCGCAGCUAACGCAUUAAGUUAUCCGCCUGGGGAGUACGGUCGCAAGAUUAAAACUUAAAGGAAAUUGAGG